rnacentral:rRNA from 1 species
GACGAACGCUGGCGGCGUGCCUAAUACAUGCAAGUCGAACGAACUCUGGUAAUGAUUGGUGCUUGCAUCAUGAAUUACAUUUGAGUGAGUGGCGAACUGGUGAGUAACACGUGGGAAACCUGCCCAGAAGCGGGGGAUAACACCUGGAAACAGAUGCUAAUACCGCAUAACAACUUGGACCGCAUGGUCCGAGUUUGAAAGAUGGCUUCGGCUAUCACUUUUGGAUGGUCCCGCGGCGUAUUAGCUAGAUGGUGAGGUAACGGCUCACCAUGGCAAUGAUACGUAGCCGACCUGAGAGGGUAAUCGGCCACAUUGGGACUGAGACACGGCCCAAACUCCUACGGGAGGCAGCAGUAGGGAAUCUUCCACAAUGGACGAAAGUCUGAUGGAGCAACGCCGCGUGAGUGAAGAAGGGUUUCGGCUCGUAAAACUCUGUUGUUAAAGAAGAACAUAUCUGAGAGUCACUGUUCAGGUAUUGACGGUAUUUAACCAGAAAGCCACGGCUAACUACGUGCCAGCAGCCGCAGUAA